UACGUAGGGUGCGAGCGUUGUCCGGAAUUACUGGGCGUAAAGAGCUCGUAGGUGGUUUGUUGCGUUGUCCGUGAAAACUCACAACUCAAUUGUGGGCGUGCGGGCGAUACGGGCAGACUGGAGUACUGCAGGGGAGACUGGAAUUCCUGGUGUAGCGGUGGAAUGCGCAGAUUUCAGGAGGAACACCGGUGGCGAAGGCGGGUCUCUGGGCAGUAACUGACGCUGAGGAGCGAAAGCGUGGGGAGCGAACAGG
rnacentral:rRNA from 1 species